rnacentral:snoRNA from 1 species
AACCCAUGGUGAGGGAAUUUUUUAACAGGUUCUUGUAUCUCUCCCAUGCAUUAUUCAGGGUUUCUAGAUCUAUCUGCACAAAAGAAGAGAUAUCAUUCCUUAGUUU